UGCAUGAAGCCGGAAUCGCUAGUAAUCGCAGAUCAGAAUGCUGCGGUGAAUACGUUCCCGGGUCUUGUACACACCGCCCGUCACACCAUGGGAGUCGAUAACGCCCGAAGUCAGUGGCCCAACCGAGAGGAGGGAGCUGCCGAAGGCGGGAUGGAUAACUGGGGUGAAGUCGUAACAAGGUAGC
rnacentral:rRNA from 1 species